GUCCAGAACUUCAUGAUAUUCAAA
rnacentral:snRNA from 1 species